rnacentral:misc_RNA from 1 species
UCCCACAUGAUAUAAAUGAUGAUAAAUAAUAAGAAAACCAAGACGGUCUGCUCAUAGACUUUAGAGAUGGCUCACUUUUUUUUUUUUUUUUUUUUGGGCUAAAACUCUUGAGGCAAAAUGCUACCUUCAUGCUUAGUCUCUGUCACUAAGUGAAAACUUGUCUCAUCUGAGCUGCCAUUGAAGUUAUAAAGUUUUACCAGUCCAUAUUCAUUGCCAACUGCCAAAUUUGAAGUGAGGGAACAGAAGUCCAAAUUUGAUACUGGAGUACUAAAGCCAGUA